rnacentral:lncRNA from 1 species
CUGACCGUUAUCUACUGAGUUAUUAUUAUUAUAUUUUUGAAUAGCUUCAGUUUAUUGAAUAAAUGCUCUUUAAAUGUAUAUUAUUCUGGAUUCCCAAGUAUCAAGAUUUUCGAAAAAUUGAAAACUGAUUUCCCAACAAAUUUUCCAUUGACAACGAAAGAGAACGGAUCUAAAACAGCUUGAGAAAGGUGCUUGUUAGAUACUAAAUAAAAGAGAAAACACAGAAUGGGAAACAAAUGUUGUUCUGCAGUUUUAUGGUUUCUUGGAAUAACCUGCUUCACUGUCGGAGUUGUGUUUGACUGGGUUAACUUCGUUGAACUACGAGAAAAUGAUGAAGAGAUUGAGACCACUCGACAACAAAGCUUGCGACUUCGCCCUGAAUGAAUAUCAUUGGAUUUUCAUGACUUCUGUAAUAUGUAAAGUAAUAUGCGGCAUAUUGGAGUAUGGCUUUGGUGGAUUUGCACUAUGGAAGAGUGGUAGCGACAAUAUAUAUGACACCUUGUCUCUGUCGUUUAAUGUGAUAACCACAGUUUUUCAAGCAGCUGAUUUACUUCUGUUGGUGCUAUUUUCGUACAAAUGCCUUCCCCCAGACAGGACACAUCAUGUGGAUGUUUUUAUAAGCGACGAAAACGAUGACUUUGUAGCAAGUGUUUUUGGAACAGCUGGAGUUGUAUUUAACUUGACAAUCAAGAAAAACAUUUUAACUAUAUUCAGCACCUUAUGUUGCUUCCCCUUGUUCAGAAAAAUCUAGCGGAUGCCACCAAUUUUUGUCAUUUCUGUCUGUGGUUUUGAUUCUUGUGUGUGUCGGCCUUGCAGUUGCCUUACUGCUUAAAAUUGGAUAGUUUUAUGAACUUUAACCCUUAUCAUGCUGGACACGAUUGAUUUUGCCUUUGCGGCCAGUGUAGAACUUGAUCAGCCUGUACAUCUGUGCUGUCUGAUCAAGAUCUGUAUUGUUCGCAGUUCAGUCAAUAUGUUUUUGGCAAACAUACCUUUUUACAAUUAAUGGUAAUGUCGAAAUUGAAAGAUGGAAAAAAUCAUUAUAAAAAUUUAGCAUGGUAAGGGGUAUGUGAGUAGAGAUAACACAUGCUUUUUCGUUAGCUUUACGACAUCUGAAGAACCAAGUGGGAAUGGUUAGUUCCCGAAUCAACAUAUCCCGAAUGACUGGUUGGCUCCCGGGUCAACAUAUCCCGAGGGAUUGGUUGGUUUCCCAGUCAAGAGAUCCCGAGGGAUUGGUUAGUUCCGGAGUCAACAUAUCUCGAGGGAUUCAAAAACAUGCGUUAACAUAUUUACUAUCAUAAACGUGUGAAAAAAGGAUAUAAUGUCAAUCAGCGUCACUCACUUUGCAUGAAAUGCACGGGACUGUCAGAGUUAUCUGAUUACGUUGACGUCAUAUCCGUUUGAAUUAUACGUUCUGCUACGGAACGCGCAUGUGUUAAACGGUGUUUUAACCGCGCGUGAGAGAGAAAUCUAUUUUAUGAAUGUAAAACCAAUUUUUAUACGAAGGAAUGUUGCACACAUUUUGUAUAACACGUUAGAUAAAGAAAUAAAAAUAGCUUUAUUGUAAUCAUUGAAUUUAGAACUUAAUGCACUUAUUAACAGGCAAAAAAAUCAGUCGUUGAAAGUUGUUCAUUUAUUUCAUCCAGAUACAAACCAUGUUAGACAAAUAACGAAAUAAACUUUAAACAAACCUCUCA